rnacentral:snoRNA from 1 species
AUCCUCUUAUAGUACAUAAGCAUGAUGAUUGGGUUUUCAUGUGCAUGCGUGAGAUAUGCCUCCCUCAAUCCUUGCUACGACGUGAGCACAUUACUCAUCUGACA